rnacentral:rRNA from 1 species
GACGAACGCUGGCGGCGUGCUUAACACAUGCAAGUCGAACGGAAAGGCCCUGCUGUUGUGGGGUGCUCGAGUGGCGAACGGGUGAGUAACACGUGAGUAACCAGCCCUUGACUUUGGGAUAACUUCAGGAAACUGGGGCGAAUACCGGAUAUGAGCUCCUGCUGCAUGGUGGGGGUUGGAAAGGUUCGGCGGUUGGGGAUGGAAUCGCGGCUUAUCAGCUUGCUGGUGGGGUAGUGGCUUACCAAGGCUUUGACGGGUAGCCGGCCUGAGAGGGUGACCGGCCACAUUGGGACUGAGAUACGGCCCAGACUCCUACGGGAGGCAGCAGUGGGGAAUAUUGCACAAUGGGCGGAAGCCUGAUGCAGCAACGCCGCGUGCGGGAUGACGGCCUUCGGGUUGUAAACCGCUUUCGCCUGUGACGAAGCGUGAGUGACGGUAAUGGGUAAAGAAGCACCGGCUAACUACGUG